GCCUUUUGGUGUGUAAAGCACUUUAAGCGAGGAGGAGGCUACUUGGAUGUAAUACUCUGAGAUAGUGGACGUGUACUCGCAGAAUAAGCACCGGCUAACUCUGUGCCAGCAGCCGCGGUAAUACAGAGGGUGCAAGCGUUAAUCGGAUUUACUGGGCGUAAAGCGUGCGUAGGUGGCCAAUUAAGUCAAAUGUGAAAUCCCCGAGCUUAACUUGGGAAUUGCAUUCGAUACUGGUUGGCUAGAGUAUGGGAGAGGAUGGUAGAAUUCCAGGUGUAGCGGUGAAAUGCGUAGAGAUCUGGAGGAAUACCGAUGGCGAAGGCAGCCAUCUGGCCUAAUACUGACACUGAGGUACGAAAGCAUGGGGAGCAAACAGGAUUAGAUACCCUGGUAGUCCAUGCCGUAAACGAUGUCUACUAGCCGUUGGGGUCUUUGAGACUUUAGUGGCGCAGCUAACGCGAUAAGUAGACCGCCUGGGGAGUACNGUCGCAAGACUANAACUCAAAUGAGUNGACNGGGGCCCGCACGGCNGUGGAGCAUGUGG
rnacentral:rRNA from 1 species